AUUGAACGCUGGCGGCAGGCCUAACACAUGCAAGUCGAGCGAGCGGCGGACGGGUGAGUAAUGUCUGGGAAACUGCCCGCUGGGGGGGGAUAACUACUGGAAACGCUAGCUAAUACCGCAUACCAUCAGAUGUGUCCAGAUGGGAUUAGCUCGUAGGUGGGGUAAUGGCUCACCUAGGCGACGAUCCCUAGCUGGUCUGAGAGGAUGACCAGCCACACUGGAACUGAGACACGGUCCAGACUCCUACGGGAGGCAGCAGUGGGGAAUAUUGCACAAUGGGCGCAAGCCUGAUGCAGCCAUGCCGCGUGUGUGAAGAAGGCCUUCGGGUUGUAAAGCACUUUCAGCGGGGAGGCGUUACCCGCAGAAGAAGCACCGGCUAACUCCGUGCCAGCAGCCGCGGUAAUAC
rnacentral:rRNA from 1 species